rnacentral:rRNA from 1 species
UACGGAGGGGGCAAGCGUUGUUCGGAAUUACUGGGCGUAAAGGGCGCGCAGGCGGCUGCUCAAGUCAGGCGUGAAAGGCCUGGGCUCAACCCGGGAAUUGCGCUUGAGACUGGGCUGGCUUGAGUGCGGGAGAGGAUGGUGGAAUUCCCAGUGUAGUGGUGAAAUACGUAGAGAUUGGGAAGAACACCAGUGGCGAAGGCGGCUAUCUGGACGGUUUCUGACGCUAAGACGCGAAAGCGUGGGGAGCAAACAGG